GGGCGAAGAUAAGACGGAUUAGCGGCGGACGGGUGAGUAACACGUGAGUAACCUGCCUUUUACACAGGGAUAGCCUCGGGAAACCGGGAUUAAAACCUGAUGAAACUAUCAAAUCACAUGAUUAAGAAAGUUAAAACUCCGGUGGUAAAAGAUGGACUCGCGUCCCAUUAGCUAGUUGGUGAAGGUAACGGCCCACCAAGGCAACGAUGGGUAGCCGGCCUGAGAGGGUGAACGGCCACAUUGGAACUGAGAAACGGUCCAAACUCCUACGGGAGGCAGCAGCU
rnacentral:rRNA from 1 species